GCCGGCUGCACCCGCGCGGCUCGCCCCGGGCCGGUCCCGUCCCCUUCGUGCGGAGCGCCCCGCUGGUUGCCGGCAGAGGGUGCUUAGGAGCUGCUCGCGGUCCCCUCUUUGCCUCCUGCAGGCCCGGCGGCUCCUGCAGAGCUGCCCGGCUCCGGCUCAUCCCCAGCGCGCCUUGUCGCGGGCUUCCAGGGCAUCCCGCCUGGCCCGGCCCGGCCCAGCCCAGCGCCGGGUGUUUUCCGCCCGGGGUCUCCAUUCCAGGAGGGUGCUGGGCUCUGCAGCGCCGCGUUACCCUGACCUGACCCGGGGCCCCAGGGGACCAGGAUUCACAUGUGUGCAGGUGCGCGACAGCCAUGUCACGUCCCAGCCAGCCCUCACGAUGAUCUGUUCGUCAUCAGGUGCCCGGGGGCAGGAUGUUGAAGUGUUGAGGACUGAAGCGCAACGGCACCUCUGCUCUUCUUAUUCCUUUCGAAGGACUCGCUUUUUCCUUUUCCCGUGUCCCCAACAAGCUGUCGCUGAUAGCUGUGGUAUCACAUCCCCCAACUGAGAUGAUGGGAUUGAAGCUGAAAUCCAACAGUUUUCAAGAGAGGUCACUAAAGUUGAGAGGUGAACUAGUCACAGGUGAGGCUGAAUCCAGGACUGUCUCCAGUGGCAUGUUUGCCUUAAGCCCCUCUUGAAGCAGAAUAACUUUUCCAAAUUAUGCUGUUUUUAUGUUACUUUCAAAGGCCAGGUAUAUUUACUGAUAUGACAUCACAUGUGAUAGGAACUGAAAGGGGAUGGUGAUAAUCAGUGAGAGACUAGGUAUAAUUGUUGAUUCAGAAAUGUUUAAAUUAUUCUGUGGUCAACACUAGAAUCCCAUGUGCUGCAUUGCUCUCAUCUCAGCACACUUCACUCCCCAUGUUCAGUGCUAAACUUAUGCGGAAACCUCAUGCUGUCAUCUUUCAGGCAUUCAGUUGAAACCCAAGAGGAGGCUUAUCUUUAAGGAAUGUGCCGUUUCCCCCUCAAUAGUGACUACUUGACUGUUCACAUCUCAGCAUUCAGAGAGAAUUUGUGCCCCUUAUUCAUAGAGUCAAAGUCUCCACCAAAGGUCCUUUUGUUGUAUCUGCAUAUCCAUUCCUUUGAGGAAAGCUGCUUUGCCUGUAUCAGCUAUUACCAUUCAUGGAGUAGCUGUGAUACCAAACUUGGGCUCACAGCAUGUAAAAGAAUCAAUAUGUUGAUAUUGAAAAAAAAAACCUGUCAAUAAAACUUUAGGUUAGUUUGGAAA